rnacentral:rRNA from 1 species
CCUACGGGAGGCAGCAGUGGGGAAUAUUGGACAAUGGGGGGAACCCUGAUGCAGCGACGCCGCGUGAGUGAAGAAGUAUUUCGGUAUGUAAAGCUCUAUCAGCAGGGAAGAAAAUGACGGUACCUGACUAAGAAGCCCCGGCUAACUACGUGCCAGCAGCCGCGGUAAUACGUAGGGGGCAAGCGUUAUCCGGAUUUACUGGGUGUAAAGGGAGCGUAGACGGUUAAUCAAGUCAGAAGUGAAAACCCAGGGCUUAACCGUGGAACUGCUUUUGAAACUGAGGAGCUAGAGUGCGGGAGGGGUAAGCGGAAUUCCUAGUGUAGCGGUGAAAUGCGUAGAUAUUAGGAGGAACACCAGUGGCGAAGGCGGCUUACUGGACUGUAACUGACGUUGAGGCUCGAAAGCGUGGGGAGCAAACAGGAUUAGAUACCCGAGUAGUC